UACGGAGGGUGCAAGCGUUAUCCGGAUUCACUGGGUUUAAAGGGUGUGUAGGCGGGCAAUUAAGUCAGUGGUGAAAUCUCCAGGCUCAACCUGGAAACUGCCAUUGAUACUAUUUGUCUUGAAUAUCGUUGAGGUAGGCGGAAUAUAUCAUGUAGCGGUGAAAUGCUUAGAUAUGAUAUAGAACACCGAUUGCGAAGGCAGCUUGCUAAACGAUUAUUGACGCUGAGGCACGAAAGCGUGGGGAUCAAACAGG
rnacentral:rRNA from 1 species